rnacentral:rRNA from 1 species
AUUGAACGCUGGCGGCAGGCCUAACACAUGCAAGUCGAACGAGUGGCGGACGGGUGAGUAAUGUCUGGGAAACUGCCUGAUGGAGGGGGAUAACUACUGGAAACGGUAGCUAAUACCGCAUACCAGCGGAUGUGCCCAGAUGGGAUUAGCUAGGAGGUGGGGUAACGGCUCACUAAGGCGACGAUCCCUAGCUGGUCGGAGAGGAUGACCAGGCACACUGGAACUGAGACACGGUCCAGACUCCUACGGGAGGCAGCAGUGGGGAAUUUUGGACAAUGGGCGCAAGCCUUAUGCAGCCAUGCCGCGUGUAUGAAGAAGGCCUUCGGGUUGUAAAGUACUUUCAGCUGGGAGGCGUUACCAGCAGAAGAAGCACCGGCUAACUCCGUGCCAGCAGCCGCGGUAAUAC